AUCAUAGAAGAAUGCAGGAAUCACUCUCAUUAUUACCACAGAGUUAUUAAUUAACUUGUGAAUAAUGCUUAGAGAUGUGACUGCAUAAUACCUUAGUUCCAUGCAUAGGGGAACCUUGAUCCAAGGAGUGGAGAUCAUGCACCAUGAAUCUUCACCUCCUGUAGCCUGAUGGGCACUUGUCGGAGCUGGAACCCCAGUGAGCAUGUUCAUGUACUCUCAGCCCUACACCCUGACUUCUUGUGAUGGUCUGCGGAAAUUUUUGGACUGUCUUAAGAACAAAAUUUUUCUAAUGGUGUAAUUUAUUUCUUUUAAGUUUUUAGGAUAAUUUUUCCUUUUUUCUUACCCUUUCUUAGUGAGCCUCCUUGUUCACCAAUUCCUACAAAAUAUAUUUAGUAUACCUAAUUUAAUGUUAUAUGAUAUAAAACUCUGUAAAAUAAGCAAUGACAUAAUUUCUUCCUAACUUUGAGUUUUAAUUUCCUCAUGCUUAUAUCCAUGCUGAUAAUUUUCUUAUUACUGAGAAUGUAAACCUUUUACAUUUUCUAACUGCCGUCCACCACAAUGCAUUGAAAUCUGACCUCUAUUUUUUUUUUCAACUACUGCCCUGAACAAAUGACAUACCAUGCUCCUCUAGAUGACUCUUUGCCUACCUUGGUCAACAUAAUAUAGUGGUAUAAUGAGACUCCUUUCCUGCACGCUUGGAAUACUUCCACCAGCCUUUGAAGAAGCCCAGGAGGAAAAAUAAUGUGAGCCCAGCUGUAUCAGCCAUCACAAACGAAGCUCUCAUAGCAUAAGUGAAGCCAUCUUCAAACACCCAGCCCCAGCCAACUCUACAACCGAGGUUCCCAACAUCAUUUCCUGAAAUGGCAGAAAUGCUGUCCCCUAUCCAAUAUGACAGCCACAGACACAGGCUGCUGAGUACCAGAAAUUGUGGCUACUGUUUUCAAAUUUCAAUUUUAUUCAAUUGGAAUGGAUUUAGAUAUCACAAUAGAUUGAAUGGAUCCAAUCUUGGUGACUGUGGUAAGAGUAAACCCCAGAUUUCUCCAGGAGCUUCUGACAGUCAUCUUAGACCCGUGAAACAGGAGUCUGAUGGGAGAAGGAGACAAAACUGUGCAUAUAGAACCAAAAGAAGAAGAAGAAGAAGAAGAAGAAGAAGAAGAAGAAGAAGAAGAAGAAGAAGAAGAAGAAGAAGAAGAAGAAGAAGAAGAAGAAGAAGAAGAAGAAGAAGAAGAAGAAGAAGAAGAAGAAGAAGAAGAAGAAGAAGAAGAAGAAGAAGAAGAAGAAGAAGAAGAAGAAGAGAAGAAGAAGAAGAGAAGCAAAGUCCCACUAAAUUAUUUGGCCAUUUAAGUCUCUUUUAAAGCAAAACUCACCCAUUCUGUUUAAUAGUAAGGGCCAAUAAACUUUGUUUGCUUAAGCCA
rnacentral:lncRNA from 1 species